rnacentral:rRNA from 1 species
AACGAACGCUGGCGGCAGGCUUAACACAUACAAGUCGAACGCUCCGCAAGGGGAGUGGCAGACGGGUGAGUAACGCGUGGGAAUCUACCCAGUUCUACGGAACAACUGAGGGAAACUUCAGCUAAUACCGUAUACGACCUACGGGGGAAAGAUUUAUCGGAAUUGGAUGAGCCCGCGUUGGAUUAGCUAGUUGGUGAGGUAAUGGCUCACCAAGGCGACGAUCCAUAGCUGGUCUGAGAGGAUGAUCGGCCACACUGGGACUGAGACACGGCCCAGACUCCUACGGGAGGCAGCAGUGGGGAAUCUUGAGCAAUGGGCGAAAGCCUGACGCAGCCAUGCCGCGUGAAUGAUGAAGGUCUUAGGAUUGUAAAAUUCUUUUACCAGGGACGAUAAUGACGGUGCCUGGAGAAAAAGCCCCGGCUAACUUCGUGCCAGCAGCCGCCGUAAAAC